AUUGAACGCUGGCGGCAGGCCUAACACAUGCAAGUCGAGCGGAUGAGUGGAGCUUGCUCCAUGAUUCAGCGGCGGACGGGUGAGUAAUGCCUAGGAAUCUGCCUGGUAGUGGGGGACAACGUUUCGAAAGGAACGCUAAUACCGCAUACGUCCUACGGGAGAAAGCAGGGGACCUUCGGGCCUUGCGCUAUCAGAUGAGCCUAGGUCGGGUUCGCUAGUAGGUGGGGUAAUGGCUCACCUAGGCGACGAUCCGUAACUGGUCUGGGAGGAUGAUCAGUCAAACUGGAACUGAGACACGGUCCAGACUCCUACGGGAGGCAGCAGUGGGGAAUAUUGGACAAUGGGCGAAAGCCUGAUCCAGCCAAGCCGCGUGUGUGAAGAAGGUCUUCGGAUUGUAAAGCACUUUAAGUUGGGAGGAAGAGCAGUAAGUUAAUACCUUGCUGUUUUGACGUUACCAACAGAAUAAGCACCGGCUAACUUCGUGCCAGCAGCCGCAGUAAAAC
rnacentral:rRNA from 1 species